CCUUGGAGGCUUGGAGGCUGGACCCAAGGCAUGUGACUGGUGGCUAGACCAGGGAGGAGGACUUACGGGACCUACGGGACCUAAGUAUUCCCGGAACCUAACUCAAAGACUGCAGGAAGCAGCUAGUGUCUCCUUGCUUAAGAUGUAUAUAUUUCUACUAUUUGAUGAGCAUUUUUAUUUAAUGUAUGUAUUUUCACAUAUAUAAUCGAGUUUUUUGUCAUUAAACAGAUCAGUGCUCACUGGAAAUGGUCUUAAUACUGCAGGCAAUAAAUGGACCCACUAUUCCAUCCUCCCAAGGCCGUUGAUACUGGUGGUGUGAACACGGACUCAGAGGGAGCCCUGCCAGCCCAGUGUCCGCAAGCAAGAAGCCCGGCCCUCACCCAGCCGCCUCAUGCUGGCCGCGUGACCAACGACCCCUCACUCACUCCUCAGCCUGUGCCCCUUCAGUGGUGGCAGUGAUGGACACAUGUGCUCAGGAGAGAGGGGUUGUUUGUGUUCCUCCAGGGCUCCAAGAAGCUGGAAGGAUGCCUGGCUUUCCUGCCUCUCUCUAGUCACUGGGAUAGUACGGUUAACCCACUGUGUACUCACUCCCUUGCCCCAAAUCCGUUGAAUUGUGGUACACGUGUGGAGAGUGCCGGGUGAGGGAGAUGCAGAUGGUGGUGAUGAUGAUGACAGAAAGGGUGUUGGUGAUGGUGAUGAUGGUGGUAAAAGUGAUUUUGGUGCUGAUGAAGGUGCUGUCAACUUCACAUGGCGCUCUCUCUGAACCAGGCUCACCUCUGAGUACUGUACAUAUUAACUUAUUGUGUCAUCCCAUCUCUUUUAUGAGGUUCAAAAAUAAUUUUCACGCAUCAGAACCGAAACAGGGGAUGGAAAUAUUGGAGGCUUAUACGUGUUCACUCAGAAGUCGAUCGCAGUGCCUGGGAGGCUGAGGCAGGAGGCUGUUAUGUUUGAAGCUAGCCUGCUCUAUGACGUGGGGACUCUGUGAUACAGUGCGUCAGGGGAAUAGGUUACAGAGACGAAGGAUAAGCUUUGUUGACAUGGGAGAGACACCCACGGGUAAGUCUGGCAAAUGUUCACAGUGUCCAGCAAGAAGAGCCGCUUUCUGGGCGGUGCCUCUCCUCUUCCCGUACGCCCUUCCUUAUUUCCUAAUCACGGCUGGGAAAAACCGAAUGAACGCCAGCCACGGCCAGGAGACGCUGCGGGUGGGCGCGAUGGCGAUGCUGAAGCAAAGCACCCCUGACCAGCACAGCUGGACCACGACUGCACCAUGAGGCAGCCCCUGGAUGUCCCUCGACCUCACAGCCCCAGCCAUGCAGGCAGACUGCAAAAUGGUUCAAAGUGUCUGUCACAUACCAGGUGCGCCCACUCUGACUCUGCCAACUUAGUGCUGCGGGAGCAGGUGUCAAACCCGAUGGAAUGUCAUCGUCAUCGGGACAACGGAUGCCAAGGCCUGCCCGUUCAUCAGGGGCUCUCAGGCACUUCUCUAUCCGGGCCCCAGCAUUCCAGGAGGACCUGCUCGCUCGGCAUUAUCAGCAGGCUCCGCCAGAGAUAAGCAGCCUUAAUGCGACCCGCUAAUGGUAUUAUUUUAGGGACCACUCAAAGGACAUGUUGGAAUGGAGGCCCGGGGCCACCUGUCAUUCUUUCUGUCACCGACACCCUAAACAGGUCAAACAAAGACCAGCACUUGUACACGGAGGGGGUGGGGGCAUGGGAGCACGCACCUCCGAACGACUGGAAAGAAUUCUCAAGCUGAAAACAGCCCCUCCCAAGAAGCAGCGGGGGCGGGGAAAAGAAUGUGCUCAGAAAGCCUCCGCCCCUCACAGCACUCCUGGGUGAACAACUCCCACGCUGCAGCCAGGGUAACCGCACGCUGCAGCCAGGGUAACCGUACAGGGCGGAGGCAGAAGGCUCCUACCACGCAACUCUGUGUUGAGGAGACGUGUUAAAGCCUGCUCAGACAGACCUCUGGCCGUCUCUGGCUUCUGUUAGGAAGGGUCAGGGCUCACAUGUGUAAUUCUCUGCUUCCUUCAGUGGCUGAAACCAUUUUUUUACGCAGCCUUAACUGUUAGUUAAGCUGAACGCUCACCAUCAAACGUCAGGUGGGAAGGUGCAGACCUCUGAGCUCAUGGCGGCCAGGCUCCAUGCCCCGCCAUCCUCCACCACCCUCCCACAGCCUCCACCGCGCUCACGUAAUCAUCCUCGGAGAGUAUUUAGUCUGUUAUUCGUGGCUUGCCUAUGGCAUUAAACAAUGACGUGAGUUUGGGCAAG